rnacentral:rRNA from 1 species
GAUCAUGACUCAGGACGAACGCUGGCGGCGCGCCUAACACAUGCAAGUCGAACGAGAGAGAGGAAGCUUGCUUCCUCAAUCGAGUGGCGAACGGGUGAGUAACGCGUGAGGAACCUACCUCAAAGAGGGGGACAACAGUUGGAAACGACUGCUAAUACCGCAUAAGCCCACAGGUCGGCAUCGACCAGAGGGAAAAGGAGCAAUCCGCUUUGAGAUGGCCUCGCGUCCGAUUAGCUAGUUGG